UAGCAUACAAGAAACGACCCUUAAUCC
rnacentral:piRNA from 1 species